rnacentral:rRNA from 1 species
UACGUAGGGUGCGAGCGUUAAUCGGAAUUACUGGGCGUAAAGCGUGCGCAGGCGGUUGGUUAAGUCUGAUGUGAAAGCCCCGGGCUUAACCUGGGAAUGGCCGUUGAAACUGGCGAACUGGAGUGUGGCAGAGGGGGGUGGAAUUCCGCGUGUAGCAGUGAAAUGCGUAGAGAUGCGGAGGAACACCGAUGGCGAAGGCAGCCCCCUGGGUCAAGAUUGACGCUCAUGCACGAAAGCGUGGGGAGCAAACAGG